UGUUUCUCUCCCUUCCCUUCCAACCCUCUUCUCUCUCCUCCUCCCCCGAAACCCCCCAGGCCCCGCCCCGACCUUCGCCUCCGACCCCGGCGCGGAUUCCCGGGCGCACCCGCUGCCCGCACGGCCAUGGCGGCCGGGUUCUCUAUCAGACGGUGUGCGGAGCGACUGCGGGGGACGGCGGCGGCGGAGCUCGGCCCGCUCGACCUCGCCGCCAAGGACCUGCCGCCCAUGGAGGUCCGGGUGUUCAGGUGGUGGGAGGAGGAGCUCGCGGCCAUCAAGGCGGCGGCGGAGGAGGAGAAGGAGGAGCCGGUGGCGGAGGUCGACGAGGACGAGGAGGAGGUGCCGGGGAACGGGCGGACGCCGAAGAAGCGGUCCAUCACCGACCUCUUCGCGGCGGCGCCUGCCGUGGACGCCGUGGGCGGGGGCGGCCCUGGCGCCGCUGAGGAUGAUGGGGAGGUCCUCCGCGCCAUCUUCCGGCGGACCAAGGAGAUGCGGCGGAGGAGGCGCCUGGAGGAGGCGGCGGCGGACGAGCGGCGUGCGGCCGAGGGGAAUUUCGCCAGAAAGAAAUCACUUGACAAGAUAAAUUUGGGAGAUGGGCUGGAUACUCCUGGUGCAUCAGAGGAACAUGAGGAUAAACAUAAUCUCAGUACAGAGCUGGAAAAUAUCCCAGAUCUUAAGAAAAGGAAGCAUGGAAGACUCAAUAAUAGCUUACAGAAGAAGAAGGCUAACAGGCUGAAGUAUAUUGGCAGUACAAAGGCUAUUAAGGUGGGGAAACGAGACAUUAAAAAGCUCCCCUUGCACAGCAUUCUGAAGAAGUACACAAAGCAUACAUCCGUCAAAAUGGUUAAGGAAAAACAUGGCAAUUCAAAAGGCCCUGGAGUCAUAGAACUCUGCCGCAAAUCGGUUAAGCGUGUCAAAUUCUCGGAAGUGAAUGAUGCACUUGGCAGUAAGAAGCAAUGUUCCAAAAGACCUGAACUGGCAAAUAUCUGCAAGCUAAUCUCUGAUGCAAUGACUUCUUCAUCAUCAUCAUCCAUAGAAUUUUCCAGUGAAGAGGAACAUAUUAUUGCAGAAAGUAGUAGUUCUCGCAUGCCUGAGAAAGUCUUUGCUAUGGCUAAGGACGCAAAAGAUAACACAAAUCGUGAUAAUCAAUCUGAGAUCAGCAUUACUGGAUUGUCCACUGGUUUAUUUGAUCUGAAUAAAAGUUUGGAAGAUCCUGCUGACUUGAACAGCCCUUAUGUUUCAAAUUCAGAGGAGUCAUGUCUUCAGCGUACACAGGUUGGAACUCAGGUAUUGACAAUGGAAGAACAAGGUAUGGAUCAACAAGGUAUUGACAAUGGAAGAACAAACCAUAAAGACUCGUCUUUCAAUCCACAUGGACAAGAACAACAGCAUCAUGCUACUGACUUGGACAACAGAAUGAAGUCCCCUUGUACACUGCGAAACCAAACUUUUCAGGAUUCAGUUCAGCUGCAGAAUUGGUGCUCCAUGACUAUGCAUCAUGGUGUCUCUCAGCUCUCAACUGGAGGUGAAUCUUCUUCCUUCCAAUUUCGAGGAUGUAAUCUGUCACACAGUGAGAAACAAAUUAUUCAUUCAAAAAUGAACAUGCAACAUGAGUCUAGGCCUUCUUCAGGACAAACCUUGCGCUUGAUGGGUCAUGAUCUUACAAUAUCCAAUACCAGAGUUGACUAUUUGUCUGAGGCAGCACAGAAACAAACAAAUCCUGCUGAAGAUCAUCUUACCACCAAGUUGGUGUUGGAACUGCCACGACAAGGUCAGCCUUUCCUAUCAUUACAAACUCAGAGUAUUUCCAACGUUUCAGCAAAUUCUGCAAGCACAGUAGCUCAUAUUUCAGCGAGUUCUGGAAGCACAGCUCAGGCACAUUUUAGAUACAGAAACCCACAUAAUGUCACCAAUCCUUCGCCUACUGCCAAUGUGUUCUCUUGUGAUCCAUCAAGAUGUGAAGACAGGUGGAGGGGCUAUACAAACUUGCAAUCUCAUCAAAAUGUUUUGUUGGGAUGUCCGCCUGUCUCAAAUCAUGGCAGUGCUGCAUUUAUUCAGAACCAGCCACCUCCUCAGCAUUUUUACUCUGAUCAUUCCACUAAGACAGAUUCGCCCUCAGCGCCAUUUUCACCAAUAAAUAUGCAGCAUGUGACACCGUCUCCAGAUUACCAUGCCAAUUUGCCUGUGUCUUAUGGUUUGUACUCUGCAAGCUCAUCAGUUCACCCCCAUAACUCUGUGGGUUUUACAUGGAGCCACCCACACCAGAUAGUUCAAGGAGUUCUUGAUAGCAGAGCCUCUGCAGCCCUUCCAUCCAGAAAUGCAGGAACUGGAAUGGCAAGAGUUGAUCCUGACAAUUCUACUUCAUCUAGCAGCCGUUUUGUGCUGAGAUCAGGCCCGGUGAAGCUCAGCCCUGGGGCGAAGCAUAUCCUGAUACCAAGUGACAAUACAGAGGAUGACAAUUCUGCUCCAAUUUACUCUUGUGUGUCCUUUGGUAACUAUAAUGGAAAUGUCUCGGCGCCUCACCAGAAUAAAGGAGCAGGUUCUCGUAGGUUCUAGUCUAAAAGCAUCUGUUUUUGAGCAGCUGCUGAGCAAGAGGUUACUGGUUUUGAAGGAGUUGAAGCUGAUGGCAUGCCUAAUAGGCAAUCGACGAAGAUGGUGAUGUGAGAGGAUACAAUGUGCUGCGUGGAAGAUAUCCGAUCGCAUCUGGAGAGGCGGAGGGUACAUGGUUUUGGUUGGGGCCUGGAAGACUUUGACAAAUUCCUUUAGUUCUGCAGUUGUUUACACCUUUUUUUUAAAAAAAACUUUUUUAAAAAAGAAAGAUUUUCAAAAAUGACAGUGCGCUCAGGUGUGUGAAGCAUGUGAGCCUGUAGGGCAUACCUGGAGUGUUGUUUAUCUAGUUACCGGUAAGAAAGUAGAACCUUAAUGCGACUCAGAAGUUGGUUGGUUGUACAAUUGGUUGCACCAUCUAGAUCAGAUUUCAUAUGCAUGGUUUAAAGGUAAGACUUAAACUAGACUACAAGUGGUUUCCUUU